rnacentral:rRNA from 1 species
UACAGAGGGUGCAAGCGUUGUUCGGAAUUACUGGGCGUAAAGCGCGUGUAGGCGGUUCUUCAAGUCUCGUGUGAAAGCCCUGGGCUCAACCCAGGAAGUGCGCGAGAUACUAGGGAGCUGGAGUGUCGGAGAGGAGGGCGGAAUACCCGGAGUAGAGGUGAAAUUCGUAGAUAUCGGGUGGAACACCUGUGGCGAAGGCGGCCCUCUGGACGAUAACUGACGCUGAGACGCGAAAGCAUGGGGAGCAAACAGG